AUUGAACGCUGGCGGCAGGCCUAAUACAUGCAAGUCGAACGAGUGGCGGACGGGUGAGUAAUGUCUGGGAAACUGCCUGAUGGAGGGGGAUAACUACUGGAAACGGUAGCUAAUACCGCAUACCAUCAGAUGUGCCCAGAUGGGAUUAGCUAGUGGGUGGGUUAACGGCUCACCAAGGCGACGAUCCCUAGCUGGUCUGAGAGGGUGACCGGCCACACUGGGACUGAGACACGGUCCAGACUCCUACGGGAGGCAGCAGUGGGGAAUCUUGGACAAUGGGCGCAAGCCUGAUGCAGCCAUGCCGCGUGUAUGAAGAAGGCCUUCGGAUUGUAAAGUACUUUCAGUGGGGAGGCGUUACCCGAAGAAGAAGCACCGGCUAACUCCGUGCCAGCAGCCGCGGUAAUAC
rnacentral:rRNA from 1 species